AAUGCUACGUCUCAAUUUAUUCUGAAAGGAAGGAUGAAGGAUGUCAUCAUUUGCUGCUGCGGGAGAAAACUGAAUGCUGCAUGGCAGAACAAAGCAAUCCUCGCCACGGAGGAGCACAGCCGCACGGAGCAGCGCGUGCCUGCUUGCAAUGGGCUUUGCUGCAAAGGAGUCAGAAAAUCCGAGAUGAAAAGGCCCAUUUGCAUUUCUAUUUGUGCCGUUUGAUGUUGGCUACCGAGUACAACUGGAACAAGCAACACUUUAAAUAAUCAAGAAAAAACUAUCUAGCAUCCUGAGCGCUUGUGGAGUUGGCCUUUGGUUUUCUGUUUUUUUGGUUUUUGUUUUUUUUUUUUGCUGUUGAUUCAUAGGCAGCUCUGUGCUUGGUAGAGAAACCGUGAUGGCAGCAUCACUAAGAGCUCAGGUGAGCAAAGCAGCUCUAACUGCCCGGAGAACAUGAGCCCAGCAGAUAAUCUGUCCGUCUGUCCGUCCUCCUCCUGGCUCUGUGCUUCUCCUCUCCCAAGGAAACACAACCCACACGGCUGAAAUCAGAGCAGCCAAGCAGCUUGAGUAAGCUGAAAGGCCAGGGAGGAAAUGUGAUUAUUGUGAAAAACAUUAACUAAAGAUGAUCGUGAGCACUUUGCUGAGUCCCACCUGAUUCACCUCUGUCCAGGACUUCCUCUGAGCCUGUGCUCAGCAGCACGAUUCGCACCCAGCUGGGAAACACAAGCACCGUGUGACGGAAGGGGUGACUUAAUGACUUUUGCAUACCAUUAUUUUUUCCUGAGUUAAUUAAAAGUAGAAGUGCUCAUAUCAAGCACAGUGCUUCUGUGAGCACCAUGUGCUCUUCAGCAACAUGCGGACAAGCAGGACUUAGUGUAGUGGCCCAAUUUAGUGCAGAGUUACCAGCAACAUCCAUUUUUUCACCAAAACUGCAAGAUUCUUAAAUGCUUUUAGUAACUCCAGGCCGUUUUAGUGCCUUCCCAAUGCCUCCACCAAAAAGCCAAAUGGCAAAAUAGCUCUAUACCCAUUUCACUGCCCUCAGAAGCUCAGAGCCACUCUUGGUGCUGCAGAGCACGGGAGACUUUAAAGCAAUGCUGGCUCCAGGGAAGCCGUCUGGAAUUGGACCUGUUGAAUAGGAAACCUCCAUAGUUCAGCCCUGAAAACAUUCACCUUACAUGUACCAGCAUAAAAGCUAGCUUUUAAACUUCAUUACCCUUUUCUUUGCUAGGUUUUGUGCUGCCUGCUGACAUUCUCAUCCCGGUACCGGUUUGGUUUUUAAGUCCCUGAUGGGCAGGUUUAUUACAUAAGAAUACGCCUGGAGAUUUGGGAGGUUUGUGCCUUUUCUUGUAAUGCUGGGACUUCUCCCAGCAUGAAUGGAAGUGGCUCAGAGGCUGCCCUUGCCUGAGAGACCAAUUAUUUCUGUUGCAAAAUUUCAUGCAGGUACGGGGUAUUUGUGGUGCUGUGGUGAGAAAUCAAAGUGAGCAAAAACACAUCAUGAGUCAUUACCUUGUAAAUGAAAAAAAUAAAAUAAAAUAAAAUAAAAUAAAAUAAAAUAAA
rnacentral:lncRNA from 1 species